CAUAUACUCCCUCCGUCCGAAAAUACUUGUCAUCAAAAUAGAUAAAAAAAGAUGUAUCUAGAACUAAAAUAUAUCUAGAUACAUCUUCUUUUACCCAUUUUGAUGACAAGUAUUUCCGAACGAAGGGAGUAUCAU
rnacentral:pre_miRNA from 1 species